AAGGUGAACAGCCUCUAGUCGAUGGACCAUGUAGGUAGGGAAGUCGGCAAAACGGAUCCGUAACCUUGGGAUAAGGAUUGGCUCUGAGGACUGAGCCGGUCGGGCUGGGGACCUGAAGCAGGAACGGCACUGCACCGGGACUGGGCGGGGCUCGCCGUUCACGCGGCGCGGCCAAGCCCGGACCAGCGUCGGGACCUUCCUGUGGAAAGCCUCAGCUGCGCGGCGUCUGAGGGCUUCGUGCCCAAAGUGCUAUGCUUCGGCCGGCAAAAAACAGUCAACUCAGAACUGGCACGGACCGGGGGAAUCCGACUGUCUAAUUAAAACAAAGCAUUGCGAUGGCCGCUGGUCGGUGUUGACGCAAUGUGAUUUCUGCCCAGUGCUCUGAAUGUCAACGUGAAGAGAUUCAUCAAAGCGCGGGUAAACGGCGGGAGUAACUAUGACUCUCUUGUGGUAGCCAAAUGCCUCGUCAUCUAAUUAGUGACGCGCAUGAAUGGAUUAACGAGAUUCCCACUGUCAUUAAGGAAUGGGGAGAUGAAAAAAGGCUAAGCUUUAACCCGGCCAAGU
rfam:Ixodes scapularis strain Wikel colony gcontig_1107728620388, whole genome shotgun sequence.